GAUGCAUGUUCAGUGAAAUCGAGUAGGGCGGGACACGUGUUAUCCUGUCUGAAUAUGGGGGGACCAUCCUCCAAGGCUAAAUACUCCUGACUGACCGAUAGUGAACCAGUACCGUGAGGGAAAGGCGAAAAGAACCCCUGUGAGGGGAGUGAAAUAGAACCUGAAACCGUGUACGUACAAGCAGUAGGAGCACCUUCGUGGUGUGACUGCGUACCUUUUGUAUAAUGGGUCAGCGACUUAUAUUCAGUGGCAAGGUUAACCAUCUAGGGGAGCCGUAGGGAAACCGAGUCUUAACUGGGCGCCAUAGUCUCUGGAUAUAGACCCGAAACCGAGUGAUCUAGCCAUGGGCAGGUUGAAGGUUGAGUAACAUCAACUGGAGGACCGAACCGACUAAUGUUGAAAAAUUAGCGGAUGACUUGUGGCUAGGGGUGAAAGGCCAAUCAAACUCGGAGAUAGCUGGUUCUCCCCGAAAGCUAUUUAGGUAGCGCCUCGGACGAAUACUACUGGGGGUAGAGCACUGUUAAGGCUAGGGGGUCAUCCCGACUUACCAACCCUUUGCAAACUCCGAAUACCAGUAAGUACUAUCCGGGAGACACACGGCGGGUGCUAACGUCCGUCGUGGAGAGGGAAACAACCCAGACCGCCAGCUAAGGUCCCAAAUUACAGCUAAGUGGGAAACGAUGUGGGAAGGCUUAGACAGCUAGGAUGUUGGCUUAGAAGCAGCCAUCAUUUAAAGAAAGCGUAAUAGCUCACUAGUCGAGUCGGCCUGCGCGGAAGAUGUAACGGGGCUAAGUUGUAAACCGAAGCUGCGGCAAUGUUCUAUGAACAUUGGGUAGGGGAGCGUUCUGUAAGCCGUUGAAGGUGUGUUGUAAAGCAUGCUGGAGGUAUCAGAAGUGCGAAUGCUGACAUGAGUAACGACAAGGGGGGUGAAAAACCUCCCCGCCGGAAGACCAAGGGUUCCUGUCCAACGUUAAUCGGGGCAGGGUAAGUCGACCCCUAAGGCGAGGCUGAAAAGCGUAGUCGAUGGGAAACGGGUUAAUAUUCCCGUACUUCUUACAAUUGCGAUGGGGGGACGGAGAAGGCUAGGUGGGCCUGGCGACGGUUGUCCAGGUUCAAGUGCGUAGGCUGAGUGUUUAGGUAAAUCCGGA
rnacentral:rRNA from 1 species